rnacentral:rRNA from 1 species
UGCCAGCCGCCGCGGUAAUACGGAGGAUCCAAGCGUUAUCCGGAUUCAUUGGGUUUAAAGGGUCCGCAGGCGGGGUAUUAAGUCAGUGGUGAAAGCCGGCAGCUUAACUGUCGAAUUGCCAUUGAAACUGGUACUCUUGAGUGUAGUUGAAGUAGGCGGAAUAAGUCAUGUAGCGGUGAAAUGCAUAGAUAUGACUUAGAACACCGAUUGCGAAGGCAGCUUACUAAGCUACGAUUGACGCUGAGGCACGAAAGCGUGGGGAGCGAACAGGAUUAGAUA